GAUGAACGCUGGCGGCGUGCCUAAUACAUGCAAGUAGAACGCUGAAGGAGGAGCUUGCUCUUCUGGAUGAGUUGCGAACGGGUGAGUAACGCGUAGGUAACCUGCCUGGUAGCGGGGGAUAACUAUUGGAAACGAUAGCUAAUACCGCAUGACAACAGUUAUUGCAUGAUAACUGUUUAUAAGGGGCAACUGCUCCACUACCAGAUGGACCUGCGUUGUAUUAGCUAGUUGGUGAGGUAACGGCUCACCAAGGCGACGAUACAUAGCCGACCUGAGAGGGUGAUCGGCCACACUGGGACUGAGACACGGCCCAGACUCCUACGGGAGGCAGCAGUAGGGAAUCUUCGGCAAUGGACGGAAGUCUGACCGAGCAACGCCGCGUGAGUGAAGAAGGUUUUCGGAUCGUAAAGCUCUGUUGUAAGAGAAGAACGAGUGUGAGAGUGGAAAGUUCACACUGUGACGGUAUCUUACCAGAAAGGGACGGCUAACUACGUG
rnacentral:rRNA from 1 species